GUUUUUCCUGUAAUUUGAAUACUUUGCCUUUUGGGAUUAGAUUGAUUUCCGUACUCGCUGCAACUUGAAGCUAAGGAAGGCAACAUUGUAUUGGCAAUUCUUGUAAAACUCGGCCUACGCGAGAUUAUCCAUCGAAGAGGUACCCAGAAAUUGCGUUUGGGCUUUUUUUCCAAAGGGUAGGGUCUUCAAGAUAACAAGUUCAAUUUCUCGAGGUUGAGGUUCGACUUCGUGGUUACCUAACGGCAACACUAGCCAUGUAAUGUGAAAGAUACACUUUAUAAAACACCCUCCAACAUCUUCAGGGUCUUAUGCCGGGUCCCAAACCAGAUCUUAAGUAAGGUCUUCAGCGAAGUAUUAAGUCUUCAGAGCCAUCCCAAGACCAUCCCGAGCCACCUCAGGUGAUAUUCCUAUUUCCCAUCAUAAAUUAGAGUUUUAUCAGGAUUCCUUACUUCUUCAUGACGUUAUUGAUUGGACCUUAGUCAGCUGCUGUUCUUGAAUCUGCAUAUUGGGUUACCAGGUCAAGAAAACAAGAGGAUAAGAGAAACGUGUAAGCAAUGUUACGAAUUCUGAUUUGUUAUUGUUAUUUCAAUUUUGGGACUGAUCAUAUUGGCUUAAUUAUACUAUUUGAUGGCUCCUUAAUGUAUUAAUUAUUGUCUAGUGUUUAAAGUUUUUUCUUGGCAAUUUACAAUGUAAUGUAAUUUGCAUAACUACCUAAAUAAUAAUUCAUUUAAUACCCUUUUAAUGUAAGCAACCGCACUGAAAUAUAUUUAGUAUAUUUAUUUUACUUGAUUUACUACAUACAUGUUGUACAGUGUAAUGUGCGGUAGGUUACUGACUUUGGCCAAAGGGUAGUUACAUACUAGCGGGUUAUUGUUUUUUAUUUUUUAUAUGUUUUAUAACUUUGGUGCAUAAAAUUUGGAGUUAGGGGUUGCAUUGUUAACAAGAAACUGUUUUAUAAUUUUUACGAUGGUUUAUUUAAUCGAAAGGUUAAACAAUGAACAUUGACCAGUAUUUGCAUAUUUUUAUAAUAUAGUGAUAAUUAUUAAAGCUUA